rnacentral:rRNA from 1 species
CUACGGGGUGCUGCAGUAAGGAAUAUUGCGCAAUGGAGGCAACUCUGACGCAGCCAUGCCGCGUGCAGGACUGAAGGCCUUAUGGGUCGUAAACUGCUUUUAUUUAGGAAUAAACCCCCGAACGUGUUCGGGGCUGAAGGUACUAAACGAAUAAGCACCGGCUAACUCCGUGCCAGCAGCCGCGGUAAUACGGAGGGUGCAAGCGUUGUCCGGAUUUAUUGGGUUUAAAGGGUGCGCAGGCGGGCUAUUAAGUCAGUGGUGAAAUCCCGGGGCUCAACUCCGGAACUGCCAUUGAUACUGAUAGUCUUGAGUUUGGUUGAAGUGGGCGGAAUGUAGCAUGUAGUGGUGAAAUGCAUAGAUAUGCUACAGAACACCAAUCGCGAAGGCAGCUCACUAAGCCAAAACUGACGCUCAUGCACGAAAGCGUGGGGAUCAAACAGGAUUAGAUACCCCCGUAGUC